UACGAAGGGUGCAAGCGUUACUCGGAAUUACUGGGCGUAAAGGGUGCGUUGGUGGUUUGUUAAGUCUGCUGUGGAAUCCCCGGGCUCAACCUGGGAAUGGCAGUGGAUACUGGCAAGCUAGAGUGCGGUAGAGGGUAGUGGAAUUCCCGGUGUAGCAGUGAAAUGCGUAGAGAUCGGGAGGAACACCAGUGGCGAAGGCGGCUACCUGGACCAGCACUGACACUGAAGCACGAAAGCGUGGGGAGCAAACAGG
rnacentral:rRNA from 1 species